CUUUGGUUUUGGAAAGGGAGACUUUUUGAAGGGAAGCAUGGCCUGGACACUGGUUUUCCUUUCCCUUCUCAGUUAUUUCUCAUGCGUCACUUCACAGCCCACCUUGACUCAGCCUGCCUCCCAGUCUGGAUCUCCAGGAGGGACAACUAAAAUCUCCUGUGCCAUCAGUAGCAACCCAAACAACAUUGGCUGGCUUCAGCAGAGAUCUGGGGAAGCCCCUCGCUUUGUGCAAUAUGAUGGCGGCAGCAGAGGAGAAGGGAUCCCAGACCGAUUCACGGCAACCCGAUCAGGCAACAACGGCUACUUAACCAUCACCAACCUUCAGGCUGAAGACGAGGCUGAUUAUCACUGUUACAUGUGGUAUAGCAGUGGUAACAUGUUCCACAGUAUCACAGUCAAGUACAGCAUUAGUCAGGAACCUACCCUCUCUGCAUCUCUUGGGAAACCAGCAACUCUCUCCUGCAACAUCAGCAGUGGCUUCUACUUUAAUUACUUUGCGUGGUGA